UCGCUUACGCAUUCAGAGGAAGACUUGAGAAACACUUUAUU
rnacentral:misc_RNA from 1 species